GGGUUGUGAGGUUAAGCGACUAAGCGUACACGGUGGAUGCCCUGGCAGUCAGAGGCGAUGAAGGACGUGCUAAUCUGCGAUAAGCGUCGGUGAGGUGAUAUGAACCGUUAUAACCGGCGAUUUCCGAAUGGGGAAACCCAGUGUGUUUCGACACACUAUCAUUAACUGAAUCCAUAGGUUAAUGAGGCGAACCGGGGGAACUGAAACAUCUAAGUACCCCGAGGAAAAGAAAUCAACCGAGAUUCCCCCAGUAGCGGCGAGCGAACGGGGAGGAGCCCAGAGCCUGAAUCAGUGUGUGUGUUAGUGGAAGCGUCUGGAAAGGCGCGCGAUACAGGGUGACAGCCCCGUACACAAAAAUGCACAUGCUGUGAGCUCGAUGAGUAGGGCGGGACACGUGGUAUCCUGUCUGAAUAUGGGGGGACCAUCCUCCAAGGCUAAAUACUCCUGACUGACCGAUAGUGAACCAGUACCGUGAGGGAAAGGCGAAAAGAACCCCGGCGAGGGGAGUGAAAAAGAACCUGAAACCGUGUACGUACAAGCAGUGGGAGCCUCUUAAUGGGGUGACUGCGUACCUUUUGUAUAAUGGGUCAGCGACUUAUAUUCUGUAGCAAGGUUAACCGAAUAGGGGAGCCGAAGGGAAACCGAGUCUUAACUGGGCGUUAAGUUGCAGGGUAUAGACCCGAAACCCGGUGAUCUAGCCAUGGGCAGGUUGAAGGUUGGGUAACACUAACUGGAGGACCGAACCGACUAAUGUUGAAAAAUUAGCGGAUGACUUGUGGCUGGGGGUGAAAGGCCAAUCAAACCGGGAGAUAGCUGGUUCUCCCCGAAAGCUAUUUAGGUAGCGCCUCGUGAAUUCAUCUCCGGGGGUAGAGCACUGUUUCGGCAAGGGGGUCAUCCCGACUUACCAACCCGAUGCAAACUGCGAAUACCGGAGAAUGUUAUCACGGGAGACACACGGCGGGUGCUAACGUCCGUCGUGAAGAGGGAAACAACCCAGACCGCCAGCUAAGGUCCCAAAGUCAUGGUUAAGUGGGAAACGAUGUGGGAAGGCCCAGACAGCCAGGAUGUUGGCUUAGAAGCAGCCAUCAUUUAAAGAAAGCGUAAUAGCUCACUGGUCGAGUCGGCCUGCGCGGAAGAUGUAACGGGGCUAAACCAUGCACCGAAGCUGCGGCAGCGACGCUUAUGCGUUGUUGGGUAGGGGAGCGUUCUGUAAGCCUGUGAAGGUGUGCUGUGAGGCAUGCUGGAGGUAUCAGAAGUGCGAAUGCUGACAUAAGUAACGAUAAAGCGGGUGAAAAGCCCGCUCGCCGGAAGACCAAGGGUUCCUGUCCAACGUUAAUCGGGGCAGGGUGAGUCGACCCCUAAGGCGAGGCCGAAAGGCGUAGUCGAUGGGAAACAGGUUAAUAUUCCUGUACUUGGUGUUACUGCGAAGAGGGGACGGAGAAGGCUAUGUUGGCCGGGCGACGGUUGUCCCGGUUUAAGCGUGUAGGCUGAUUUUCCAGGCAAAUCCGGAAAAUCAAGGCUGAGGCGUGAUGACGAGGCACUACGGUGCUGAAGCAACAAAUGCCCUGCUUCCAGGAAAAGCCUCUAAGCAUCAGGUAACAUCAAAUCGUACCCCAAACCGACACAGGUGGUCAGGUAGAGAAUACCAAGGCGCUUGAGAGAACUCGGGUGAAGGAACUAGGCAAAAUGGUGCCGUAACUUCGGGAGAAGGCACGCUGAUAUGUAGGUGAAGUCCCUCGCGGAUGGAGCUGAAAUCAGUCGAAGAUACCAGCUGGCUGCAACUGUUUAUUAAAAACACAGCACUGUGCAAACACGAAAGUGGACGUAUACGGUGUGACGCCUGCCCGGUGCCGGAAGGUUAAUUGAUGGGGUUAGCGGCAACGCGAAGCUCUUGAUCGAAGCCCCGGUAAACGGCGGCCGUAACUAUAACGGUCCUAAGGUAGCGAAAUUCCUUGUCGGGUAAGUUCCGACCUGCACGAAUGGCGUAAUGAUGGCCAGGCUGUCUCCACCCGAGACUCAGUGAAAUUGAACUCGCUGUGAAGAUGCAGUGUACCCGCGGCAAGACGGAAAGACCCCGUGAACCUUUACUAUAGCUUGACACUGAACAUUGAGCCUUGAUGUGUAGGAUAGGUGGGAGGCUUUGAAGUGUGGACGCCAGUCUGCAUGGAGCCGACCUUGAAAUACCACCCUUUAAUGUUUGAUGUUCUAACGUGGGCCCCUAAUCGGGGUUGCGGACAGUGUCUGGUGGGUAGUUUGACUGGGGCGGUCUCCUCCUAAAGAGUAACGGAGGAGCACGAAGGUUGGCUAAUCCUGGUCGGACAUCAGGAGGUUAGUGCAAUGGCAUAAGCCAGCUUGACUGCGAGCGUGACGGCGCGAGCAGGUGCGAAAGCAGGUCAUAGUGAUCCGGUGGUUCUGAAUGGAAGGGCCAUCGCUCAACGGAUAAAAGGUACUCCGGGGAUAACAGGCUGAUACCGCCCAAGAGUUCAUAUCGACGGCGGUGUUUGGCACCUCGAUGUCGGCUCAUCACAUCCUGGGGCUGAAGUAGGUCCCAAGGGUAUGGCUGUUCGCCAUUUAAAGUGGUACGCGAGCUGGGUUUAGAACGUCGUGAGACAGUUCGGUCCCUAUCUGCCGUGGGCGCUGGAGAACUGAGGGGGGCUGCUCCUAGUACGAGAGGACCGGAGUGGACGCAUCACUGGUGUUCGGGUUGUCAUGCCAAUGGCACUGCCCGGUAGCUAAAUGCGGAAGAGAUAAGUGCUGAAAGCAUCUAAGCACGAAACUUGCCCCGAGAUGAGUUCUCCCUGACUCCUUGAGAGUCCUGAAGGAACGUUGAAGACGACGACGUUGAUAGGCCGGGUGUGUAAGCGCAGCGAUGCGUUGAGCUAACCGGUACUAAUGAACCGUGAGGCUUAACCUUACAACGCCGAAG
rnacentral:rRNA from 1 species